rnacentral:lncRNA from 1 species
UGGGGGGGGGGUGUGAGACAGCAAGGGUGAGCUCACACAUGAUCAUAGCUCAACAAGUUGUGGGGAACCAGUGGACAUAAACUCACAAAGGUGUGAGUUCAUGUGAUGUGUAAGGCUAAUCAAUGAUAGGGGUUAAGGCUGAGCAUUGCUUUUAAGUAGUUGGUCAAACUUUUAUUAGCAAUUACUAAGUGUAAGUAAGUACCAAACCUUAAAUAAAGUAAUAGAACAAAAUUAAUAAUAAACCCAUCAUAUGCAAAUGACAAAAUUGAAUUUAGGUUUCAUAAUUUAAUCAUCAGAGAGUCCUGAGCCGCUCAUGACCGUGAGCUCGGCUAGUAUACCAGUUUUACACUCUGCAGAGGUUGUACCCUUUACCCACAAGUCAUGCUACCCAUCUGCCAAGGGGUCGCGAAUCCCAUACACCUCUACCUAGGAAGCGCGGCAGGGCAACACUACGAGGCCUUUACAAAGUUCCACUAGCUUCCGAAAACCCGCUACAGUUUAUAGGAAGCUCCAAUGCAGGGUUCCUGGCUGACCGCCAUCGCAGCAAAAUCAACCAGGGACCUCCCUACACUGACCACUCCCCUACUGCCCUUGCCCCUUUCGGGUAAGGUAGUCUUCCACUAGCUUUCCUAAUUAGUCAGCCAAGGGCGUCCCAUUAAACCCUUGUGGUGGCACGUGGUUCUCAAGUUAAGCUCUAUGUUCCAAUUAACAUUAAUGAUCUCAACAUGAACAUAAAUAGAAUAACAAAAAGAAUUGGAACAUAGAGGUAAUAAAUGAUUAUCCCAAAACCAUAUAAAGCAAUAGCAAACUACCCAAGUGAUUCAGGGGUAAACAAGGUAAUGAGAUAAACAAAUCUAGGGUGACCUAUUGGGUCCCAUCAAAAUUAACCUAUGCAUGGAUAAGUGAUAUUAAAGAACAUUAUUGGGUAAAAAGUGGUCAAGGGCACAACUUGCCUUCAAUGAGCUCCUGCUCAGCUACCUCAACCUGCUGCUCACCAGGAUCCUCAGCAACGGGUUCUUCUACUCGCCACAAUACAAACAAGCACGGAAUAUAGGGAAAAUUAACAUUACACCAAGCAUAUAAACAAAAUACACAGUAAUAAUCUACACAUUAAAAUAAAAUCCUAGGAACAGGAAUCAUAAUUUUCUGAGUUAUAGAUUUUAAGUUAUGCAUUUUCAAAGGGUUUUAUGUGCUUUAAAUAGGAUUUAGUGAUAAAUAAAUUCCUUACUGUUUUCAUGACAUAACAGAGGCUCUAGGUGAUAGAGAAUUAAAUUACAAAAUUUUAGGAACUGGAAUGGACUAAUUUGGAGUUAGUAUGAAUUUUCUAUGAAUUUACAAAGUUCUAGUAAUUAUUUUCAUAUUAAAUAUUCGAUUUCUAAUUCAUUUAUACACUUUAUCCUGCCACUGGACUAGGCCUCAAUUAAUGUGAAACGCAGGGGGCUCUGCGCAAGAUAUCCUAAGACACAGAGUACAACAGCCAUGGACUGCGGGUUUGUUUAUGUGAAAGCUAAGGGGUUCUUUAGCAAUUUGCACACGCGAAUGGGUAUCUAGGGUUUCUGGCCGCCCGAUCACACACGUGCGGCCCAGAUUAAAUCGAAUCCCGACUACACACCCAGCGGCGCCCGCAAUCAUUGGAUCCCAGAUCCACGGCGCACGGCGCGCGAUGCCCUUCACUCCCUCUCGGCCACACGAUUUUCUUUCAAUGCGCCAGAUUCAAAACGACGAAGGGGUAUCUCUCGUUUUAAUCGCAGCCACACAUCCGAGAUGGACGGCCCCGAGGGCAUCUUCCCCACUGGUUCACAUAGAACGCGGCGGCGCAGACGCCAGGCGCGGCGGCGCCAUGGCCGCGAGGCCCCAAAGCUCUACCCGAACGCACAACUCAGACCCAAAUCGCUCCGCACGGUGCCCUAAACAUGAUAAUUGCAAUGGACAAGCACGUACCUCCUGGCGCGCCGUAGAGAGAUCCGGUCACGGUGAGUGGCGGACCUCCAACUCCGGCGAAAGAUUCCCGUGGCCGCCGUUAACCUUUCUUCGAUUGCGCCCACGCACUGCUUAUACGCGAGCAACUCGAGCUUUGGGUAACCCAAUCGGGGUCUGAAAUGCCCUCCUUGCGGCAGUCAACGGCGGCGGACGAUCCCGCCCCUCUCUCUCUGUUUCCUCUCCAACGGCGACGACGAAUAUGCAGUACGAACCUAGCGAACGCGAGGGCAAGAGUCGGGGAGGAAGGAACGGCUACACCUAUUUAUCCAGGGAGCGCCCGAACGCCGGAUCCGAUCAUCGCGCGCGUGAGCUCAGGAAUUCUGUUACGGCUUGGUUGGGGACGGGUCUGACGAAGCUGGCCCGCGCAUCAGUGACACAAAGCGAGUGGCUGACGUACCGGUCCCACGAUUCAGGCGAGGGUUUCGUAGGUGGUGCAAGACGCACGGAGGCAAGAACGGCUGACCCGUGGGCCCGUGGUGUCGGCGCCAGGUCGCGGGUGAGCGCGAGAGGAACAGGUCUGGGCCGCGCAGGUGGUAAAGGAAAGUUGGGCCGAAUUCUGGUUCGUCGGCCCAUCCAGGUAUGAUAUUCUUUCUCUUUUAUUUCCUCUUUCUCUAUUUUCAUAAAUUCAAAUUUAGAUCCUAAUUUAAAUUCAAACUUGUGACACAUUUAUCUUCAAGUUAUAUUGUGACCUUAAGGUACUAAUUUUGGAAAUAUAUAUAAACUUUCUUUAUAUUUUAUAUAUCUUCUCUUUUUCAAAUUCUACAAUUCCUUUUGGAUUUUAGAUUCCACUUUGGACUUUAAUAUUUUUCUUGUCACAUUUAUUAUUUUAUUUUGUCACCAUGUGCACACAAAAGAAAAUCCCAGUAUGAUGCAAAAUUUUAAUGGCAUAUAUUCUUUUUUUAUUAAUUAUUUGCUUUUGAAUAUGGUGUUCACAUGUGAUGAUAAGUAAAUUCAACACACACAUAAAAUAUAGGAAAUGUCUUUUCUCCUCUUUUACUAUAUAUAUUACAAAUUGGGUGUUACAAAUCCUACCCCCCUUAAAAAUAAUCUCGUCCUCGAGAUUUAAGAAGAUCUAGGGAAAAGGUGGGGAAAAUCUAUGCGAAGCUCUUCUUCUCUUUCCCAAGUUGCUUCAUCUUCACCGUGGUGACUCCAUUGGACUUUGCACAUCUUAAUCACCUUAUUUCUUGUAACUCGAGUCAAUGUGUCAAGAAUCUUGAUCGGAUACUCCGUGUAAGUCAAAUCACCCUGAACACUGAGCUCUUCCAUUGAUAACUGUUCCUCAGGGACACGGAGACAUUUCCUCAGUUGAGAUACAUGGAACACAUUAUGCACAUCCGAUAGACUAGCAGGAAGCUCGAGUUGGUAUGCCAUCUCCCCAACUCUCCUAAAGAUCAAGAAUGGUCCAAUGUAGCGAGGGGACAAUUUGCCCUUAACUUUGAAUCUCCUCAUUCCACGAAGUGGUGACACCUUGAGGUACACAUAAUCUCCUUCUUCAAAUUCCAGUGGUCUUCUUCUAUUAUCAGCAAAGCUCUUUUGCUUGGUUUGAACUACCAUCAAAUUCUCUCGAAUUAGACGAACUUGUUCUUCUGCUUCUUAAAUCCGUUCAGGCCCAAAGAACUGUCUUUCUCCAGUCUGAUCCCAAUACAAAGGAGUUCUGCACUUUCUCCCGUAUAAAGCUUCAAAAGGUGACAUCUUCAGACUGGCCUGAUAACUAUUAUUAUAUGAGAACUCAGCAUAAGGCAAACUUUUAUCCCAACUUCCUCCAUGCUGAAGGGAACAAGCUCUCAACAUAUCUUCCAAUACUUGAUUAGUCCUUUCAGUUUGUCCAUCAGUCUAAGGGUGAUAAGCUGUACUAAAAUUCAACUUCGUAUUCAUAUUCUCAUGAAAGCUUCUCCAAAAUCUUGAGGUAAACUGUGAACCUCGAUCAGACACGAUCUUCUUUGGUACUCCAUGUAAACACACAAUCCGAGCCAUAUAUAACUCUGCUAGCUGAGAACCUUUAUAUGUAGUCUUUACAGGAAUAAAGUGAGCCACUUUAGUCAAUCUAUCCACAAUCACCCAUAUAGCAUCAUAUCCUUUCUGGGUGCGAGGCAAUCCAGUAAUACAAUCCAUACCAAUCUCUUCCCACUUCCACUCGGGUAUCUUCAGUGGGUGUAAUAGUCCAGCUGGCCUCUGGUGUUCAGCCUUAACUCUUUGACAUACAUUGCACAUAAUCACAUGUGCAGCCACAUCUCUCUUCAAUCCAUACCACCAAUACUUUUGCUUCAAAUCCUGAUACAUCUUAGUACUCCCAGGAUGAAUAGAAUAAACUGAAUCAUGUGCCUCCUUCAAGAUGGUUUCCCGAAGACUAUCGAUAUCGGGAACGCAGAUCCGAUUCUUGAACCAUAUAGUGCCUUGAUCAUCUUCCGUGAAUUCCGGACCUCGACCUUUAGUAAUCAGAUCAUUAAUCUCUUGUAUCUUAGCAUCGCCAAUUUGUCCUUUGCGGAUUUCUUGCUCCAAAGUAGAUUCCACAUCAAUAGUAACUCCUUCAGUGUGAGCAACUAUCCCCAGGUUAAGUCUCCUAAAAUCCUCAAUAAUCUCAUCGAGUAGCUGGGCAACAACAGCUGAAUGAACAUGCUCCUUUCGACUCAAGGCAUCUACAACCAAAUUUGCCUUGCCCGGGUGAUAGUGAAUCUCCAAAUCAUAAUCCUUAAUAAGCUCCAACCAACGGCGUUGCCUAAGGUUGAGAUCCUUCUGAGUGAAUAUAUACUUCAAACUCUUAUGAUCCGUAUAUACUUGGCACUUGGUCCCCAUGAUAUAGUGUCUCCAAAUCUUAAGCGCAUGCACAACGGCUGCCAAUUCCAAGUCAUGAGUGGGGUAGUUCAAUUCAUGUUUCCGUAACUGACGAGACGCAUAGGCAAUCACAUGUCCUUCUUGCAUAAGCACACAUCCUAAGCCUUGGCCACAUGCAUCACAAUAGAUAUCAAAUCCUUUCUGUAGGUCGGGCAUAACCAAUACUGGUGGCGACAUCAAUCUUUUCUUCAAUUGAUCAAAGCUGUCUUGACAAUUCUCGUCCCACUUAAAUUCUCUUCCUUUCUCCAAAAGCGAAGUCAUAGGCUUAGCAAUCUUAGAAAAUCCUUCAAUAAAUCUCCGAUAAUAUCCUGCUAAUCCCAAGAAACUCCGAAUCUCAGUAACUGUAGUGGGUACUCUCCACUCCAUUAUCUCCUUAACUUUAGCAGGAUCCACUGAAAUUCCUCCAUUAGAAAUAAUAUGACCAAGAAAUGGCACCUCGCCAAUCCAAAACUCGCACUUGCUAAACUUGGCAUAUAGCUGGUUAUCUCGUAGCUUCUGUAGCACCAAUCUCAGAUGUUCCUCAUGAUCGCUAUCACUCUGGGAAUAAAUAAGAAUGUCGUCGAUGAACACCACGACGAAUCUAUCCAAGUACUCCAUAAACACCUUAUUCAUCAAGUUCAUAAAAUAAGCUGGUGCAUUGGUUAAUCCAAACGACAUAAUCGUAAACUCAUAUAAUCCAUAUCGAGUCGAGAAAGCUGUCUUGGGAAUAUCCGAUGGUCUAAUCCUCAUCUGAUGGUAACCGGAUCGGAGAUCAAUCUUCGAGAAUACUCUAGCACCUCUCAUCUGAUCAAAUAGAUCCUCAAUACGGGGCAACGGAUACUUGUUCUUCACAGUGACAUCAUUAAGAGAUCUAUAAUCCACACACAUCCGCUGUGAUCCAUCCUUCUUCUGUACAAACAGAACCGGUGCUCCCCAAGGUGAGGAACUCGGACGAAUGUACCCAACCUCUUGCAACUCCGUUAAGUGCUUCCUGAGUUCUUUUAAUUCUUCUACAGACAUCCUAUAUGUCCAUUUAGAAAUAGGAGCAGUUCCAGGUAAGAGAUCUAUGACAAACUCAACUUCCGUAUCUGGUGUCAUCCCUGGUAACUCCUCUGGGAAGACAUCCGGAAAAUCCUUAACCACACGGAUGUUGUCACCAACAAACUUCCCAUCGACUAAGAAUGCUGCUAGUUUGGUGGCGGUAGUUACUGCAAUUCCAACUUCAAAUCCUUCUCCUUUGGAACUGGUGAGUUCUAUGGUUCCUUUAGCACCAGUGUAUAAACUGCCUUUACCUUUCUUAACCACGACAUACCAAGGAUCACGUCUAUAGUGCUCUCUUCUAACACUAUAGGGGUAGCCCAUCUGGGUUAGAAAUACAGGGUAAGAAAGGAAGAAUUGUAGACAAGGCGGGUAAUUACGAGAAAUGUUACUGCGAGGGAUUUAUUAGCUCAGUAGAUUAGUGUGUCACCUACUAAAGCUAAUACAAUACCUUAUAGUGGUACAUGCUAAGAUGCUCAUCUAUACUAUUUCAAUCAAUCAAAGAAGCAAAUCAGGCAUUGAUCAUCAGAACAAUCAACCAACAUUUUUAAAUAGAGAAAAUAGUUUUGAUUUUUGUCUUAGGUUCCCUAUCUCUUAAAAAUGUCAUAAGGGUAGGGAUUCCAAGGUGUGAAAUCCAUCUUGUCUUAGAGUAGAAAAGGUAAGAAUGAUCAGAGUAGAACAGUAGAAGGUGAGACAAGAUCAAGAUGAGAUGAGUAUAGAAUGAGUCAGAGUAAGGUAAGUAGGAGAGGGUCUAUCCAUUUCUAUCUAGGUUUCGUCCUACAGUCAACAUUUCCUCUGAUACCACUUCUGUCACACCCGGCUUUAAGGAACAAAGCCAGGUGCAUCUCAUACAUGCGCCAAGAAGACAACAUAUAUAAUAACAGAGUGUAUAGAGAUAAAUGUCACAAAACAUCAGAGUAUUUAUUACAUAGCGGAAGACUUAUUACAAAAUAAAAGUGUAAACAUAAAACGAACUAAGGAUCGUCGGCGCCAAUGUCGACUGAGAAACGCCACCUAGAUCAGAUCAUACUCCUCGCCAUGUGGCUCCUCCUGAACCACCUGCUCUUCUCCUGUGGGGGGGUGUGAGACAGCAAGGGUGAGCUCACACAUGAUCAUAGCUCAACAAGUUGUGGGGAACCAGUGGACAUAAACUCACAAAGGUGUGAGUUCAUGUGAUGUGUAAGGCUAAUCAAUGAUAGGGGUUAAGGCUGAGCAUUGCUUUUAAGUAGUUGGUCAAACUUUUAUUAGCAAUUACUAAGUGUAAGUAAGUACCAAACCUUAAAUAAAGUAAUAGAACAAAAUUAAUAA